rnacentral:rRNA from 1 species
GACGAGCCACACGAACGUUAUUCGGAAUUACUGGGCUUAAAGGGUGCGUAGGCUGCGCGGAAAGUUGGGUGUGAAAUCCCUCGGCUCAACCGAGGAACUGCGCCCAAAACUGCCGUGCUCGAGGAAGAUAGAGGUAAGCGGAACUUACGGUGGAGCGGUGAAAUGCGUAGAUAUCUGGAGGAACACCGGUGGCGAAGGCGGCAUCCUGGACCGACACUGACGCUGAGGAGCGAAAGCCAGGGGAGCAAACGGG